rnacentral:rRNA from 1 species
AGUGAACGCUGGCGGUAGGCCUAACACAUGCAAGUCGAACGGCAGCACAGUAAGAGCUUGCUCUUACGGGUGGCGAGUGGCGGACGGGUGAGGUAUACAUCGGAAUCUACUUUUUCGUGGGGGAUAACGUAGGGAAACUUACGCUAAUACCGCAUACGACCUACGGGUGAAAGCAGGGGAUCUUCGGACCUUGCGCGAUUGAAUGAGCCGAUGUCGGAUUAGCUAGUUGGCGGGGUAAAGGCCCACCAAGGCGACGAUCCGUAGCUGGUCUGAGAGGAUGAUCAGCCACACUGGAACUGAGACACGGUCCAGACUCCUACGGGAGGCAGCAGUGGGGAAUAUUGGACAAUGGGCGCAAGCCUGAUCCAGCCAUACCGCGUGGGUGAAGAAGGCCUUCGGGUUGUAGAGCCCUUUUGUUGGGAAAGAAAAGCAGCAGGUUAAUACCCCGCUGUUCUGACGGUACCCAAAGAAUAAGCACCGGCUAACUUCGUG